GAAGUCUAGAUUUAGGGUCUGUGGU
rnacentral:piRNA from 1 species